rnacentral:rRNA from 1 species
CCUACGGGAGGCAGCAGUGGGGAAUAUUGGGCAAUGGGCGCAAGACUGACCCAGCAACGCCGCGUGAGGGAAGAAGGCUUUCGGGUUGUAAACUUCUUUUAUCAGGGACGAAACAAGUGACGGUACCUGAUGAAUAAGCCACGGCUAACUACGUGCCAGCAGCAGCGGUAAUACGUAGGUGGCAAGCGUUAUCCGGAUGUACUGGGUUUAAAGGGCGUGUAGGCGGGAGUGCAAGUCAGCUGUGAAAACUAUGGGCUCAACCCAUAGCCUGCAUUUGAAACUGUACGUCUUGAGUGCUGGAGAGGUAAUCGGAAUUCGGGGUGUAGCGGUGAAAUGCGUAGAUAUAAGGAGGAACACCAGUGGCGAAGGCGGAUUGCUGGACAGUAACUGACGCUGAGGCGCGAAAGCGUGGGGAGCAAACAGGAUUAGAUACCCCUGUAGUC